rnacentral:sRNA from 1 species
CUGGAUGUGAUUCAGGUUCUCUUUUGUACACAUUGCACACUCAUCCUCCUUGCGGCCUAAAGCUUUUUUUUUUUUAGUUGAGUCAUUUAAUCAAAAAGACUUUUUUUAGAAAAAAAAUUUCCUCUUGAGCCAUCAUGCACAUCUGACUGCAGCCCCAGCGAGCCCUUCCUCCCUUGUCUGACUGCUCUUCUUCUCGAUUUCUUCUUGUUCUGCCUUCUCAGUUUGCAGCCCUGACCCACGCUGUGUGUCUGUGUGUCUGGCCCUUGGUGACUGUCCGUGUUUCUGUUCCUGUCAUUGUAACUGUGACUUUUCUUUCUGUCUGCCCCCCCCUUCCUACUGGUUCAUGCUUCUCCCCCAUUCCCACCCUCUCUGCCCGGCCUCCCGCUCCCGCCCUUUCUCCUCAUGCACCCGGCCUCGUCUCUGUAGUCUCUGCACUUGUCUCCCAUUAAGGUCCCAUCCAUGGGGGGGCGGAAGCGGGAGCGCAAGGCUGCCGUCGAGGAGGACACCUCCCUGUCGGAGAGUGAGGGGCCCCGCCAGCCCGAUGGGGAUGAGGAGGAGAGCACAGCCCUCAGCAUCAACGAGGAGAUGCAGCGCAUGCUCAACCAGCUGAGGGAGUAUGAUUUUGAGGACGACUGUGACAGCCUGACUUGGGAGGAGACUGAGGAGACCCUGCUGCUUUGGGAGGAUUUCUCAGGCUAUGCCAUGGCAGCUGCAGAGGCCCAGGGAGAGCAGGAAGAUAGCCUGGAGAAGGUGAUUAAAGAUACGGAGUCCCUGUUCAAAACCCGGGAGAAGGAGUAUCAGGAGACCAUUGACCAGAUAGAGCUGGAGUUGGCCACGGCCAAGAACGACAUGAACCGGCACCUGCACGAGUACAUGGAGAUGUGCAGCAUGAAGCGCGGCCUGGACGUGCAGAUGGAGACCUGCCGCCGGCUCAUCACCCAGUCUGGAGACCGAAAGUCUCCUGCUUUCGCUGCGGUCCCGCUUAGCGACCCGCCGCCGCCGCCGCCAAGCGAGGCUGAGGACUCCGAUCGCGAUGUCUCAUCUGACAGCUCCAUGAGAUAGAGACCUGCCUCCCCCUUGCACCCGAGGCCCUCGCAGCGGGGACCUCAGCGAGGCAGAGGGUGGGGCUGCACAGAGGGGAACAUCAGCUGCAGCUCUGCACCAGGCCGGCCCCUGGGGACUGGGGCGCUCCUCCCUCAGGCUUUCUCCCUCGGUCUUGGCUUCUCCAGGGCUCUGGGGUGUCUGGAGCUAGGCUUGGCCCUACCAUUCUGGGGCCAUUUCCACCACAGUUGGGGCUCUCCUGCCUUCACGCGUGGGUGUCUGCUACUUCCCCAUCUUUAAAAUGCUGCCAGAGCGAUUGCGGCCCCUCACCUUGUCCACGUAUCAGGAAUGUGAAUGUGGGACCUUUCCUCCAUCCCUGUUGUCCGGAGCCAGCUCACUGUCUUCCACACUGGUGCUAACUGGCCCAGGCACUGGAGUGGAAUAGAAUGCAGCUGGAGGCUACGCAUGGCCUCUGCAGCACACGCAGCUGGAGAGGGCUUCUGUCCCUGUCAGCGGCAGAGGGCGUUGGGGCUGGCCGGGGCACCUUGUCCCUGCUAUGGUCCACAUGCUCACGCUGUCCACCUGCCAGGUGGAGUGUAUGUGGCUGUGGCCCUCCCUCGUGGAGGUGCCGUGCUUUAAAGAGGCCUUAGUGCCCGGGAUGGGCACAGUGUUUUGAAGGGAGGUGGGAGCUCUUGCUCUCCUGGUCACUGCAGAAUGACAGAGAAGGUGAAGCUCCGUGCAUGUGUGCGCGGGUGUAUGUGCGCUCAGGGUCUCUGUUUAAGUAUCAGCUAAAGAUGUGCCCCCUCCAUGUCUGUCAUACACUGAGACCAACAGGCUACAGUGUCCCUGAUUCUUGGAAAAGCCUGGAGAAGCUGGGGAGAUGCGGUUCACAAUGCCUCGGUAUAGGAGGCUGUGUUGAGCUGACAUUCAAAUGGAUUCUUUAAUAAUAAUGAAACUGGCGAGUAUUUAUUGUGCACUUUGGUGUCACUGUCUCAAGCACUUCCUAAUAUUCACUAGUUUGAACUCUGAGGUAGGUACUUUUUUUUUUUUGAGAUGGAGUCUCAUACUCUGUUGCCUAGGCUGGAGUGCAGUGGUGUGGUCUCAGCUCACUGCAGCCUCUGCCUCCGGGGUGCAAGCGAUUCUCCUGCUUCAGCACGCCUGUAGCUGGGACUAUAGGCAUGUGCCAUGAAGCCUGGCUGAUUUUUGUAAUUUUAGUAGAGACGGAGUUUCACCAUGUUGGCCAGGCUGGUCUCAAACUCCUGACCUCAGGUGAUACACCCACCUUGGCCUCCCAAAGUGCUGGGGUUACAGGCGUGCGCGCUCUACCGAGGUAUGUACUUUUGUCUCCACUAGGUAAGCGCAUGUGCAAAGUGAGGCCCGGGAGUAACUGCCCAAAGCAACCGAGCCAUUCAGUGGCAGAGCCAGGGGUCUGGACCUAGGUCCCAGCUACACGCCUUGCCCCUACCCAAGCUCCCCUAAGGACGAUGAUGGAAAUAAGUCACCCUGACACAUCUCAGUUCAUCUUCCUCAAAACUAUGCGAG